UACGGAGGUGCAAGCGUUGUCCGGAAUCACUGGGCGUAAAGGGUGCGUAGGCGGCCUGUUGCGUCCGCUGUGAAAUCCCGGGGCUUAACCCCGGGCCUGCAGUGGAUACGGGCAGGCUGGAGGCAGGCAGGGGAGAACGGAAUUCCCGGUGUGAGCGGUGAAAUGCGCAGAUAUCGGAGGAACACCGGUGGCGAAGGCGGUUCUCUGGCCUGUACUGACGCUGAGGAGCGAAA
rnacentral:rRNA from 1 species